rnacentral:rRNA from 1 species
GAAUUGCGAUAAGUAAUGUGAAUUGCAGAUUUCCAGUGAAUCAUCGAAUCUUUGAACGCACCUUGCGCUCCUUGGUAUUCCGAGGAGCAUGCCUGUUUGAGUGUCAUCGAAUUCUCAACCAUCAUACAUGUUUAAUUAUGUAGAUGGCUUUUGGAUUUGGGUGUUGCUGGCAUGGUCAGCUCUCCUGAAAUGCAUUAGCAAGAGAAACAGCCAUUCUUGAUGCAGCACGGCCCUUGACGUGAUAAUCUUCAUCGUCGUCUUGGCUGGAGUGUCUAGAAGGUGGUCUUGCUUCUAAUCUCUCUAAUUUGGAUUGGGAUUGGGAAUUGUCCCCCUCUCCCUCUUCUUAUUUGACUUGAUCUUUGACCUCAAAUCAGGUAGGACUACCCGCUGAACUUAA